UACGUAGGGUGCAAGCGUUAAUCGGAAUUACUGGGCGUAAAGCGUGCGCAGGCGGUGAUGUAAGACAGUUGUGAAAUCCCCGGGCUCAACCUGGGAACUGCAUCUGUGACUGCAUUGCUGGAGUGCGGCAGAGGGGGAUGGAAUUCCGCGUGUAGCAGUGAAAUGCGUAGAUAUGCGGAGGAACACCGAUGGCGGAAGGCAAUCCCCUGGGCCUGCACUGACGCUCAGUGCACGAAAGCGUGGGGAGCAAACAGG
rnacentral:rRNA from 1 species